UAGAUUACAAAGUCUCUUGACUGUAAUCCCCAAAGACAUGUUGGUAAAAUUUAGUUUCCUAGAAUAAGUGUGUUAUUAAGCCUCUGGAGAAAGACAAUACAUGACACAUCUUUAAAAAAAAAAUAUUUGGGUAUCGUAUGGAGAAGAUGAAUCACUAUGUUGUUCACCCGAAACGAAUGUAACAUCGUGUCAACUCCACUCAAAUAAGAAAAUUUUAAAGAAAUAUUUAGGGAUCACAAGGGGAGCCUCUGAUUCAAUUUUUCAUUGUGCCACACCAGGCAGGACAAGAAACAAACUGCUUUUAAGUCUUAAAUGAGAAAUAACGUGGUUACAAAACGUUGCUGGUUUAGUGUGAUUCACAAGCCAUUGCAAUGCCAGCCAAGGGAAGUAGGAGCCAAACCCGGGCUGUGGACCGAGGACCGGACAGCCCCACCCGGCAGGGGGAUGGUGGAAACAUCCUUCCACGUCUGAGAGCAGAGCGAGGUGAGCCUGUUACUGGAGAGCCCGAAGCGGACCAGUCUGGCUGUGCAGGCUUCAGGAGGUCCUUCGGCCAGGUGGUGAGAUACCAUCUCUGAGAUGGGGCCGGUUGCCCCGGGUCAGACUAGAAGAGGCUGGGGUAGGGGUCUCCCCACCCACCGCCACCCCCGGCUGGCUCACAUCACGGAGACCACAGUGCAGAGGAAAGCAAAGAGGGGAAAAAAAGAACCCUGGAUCGGGAGUAUACACACACGCAAAUAGGAAAAGUCUGGUCAGCUGAAAAGGAAGGAGAAAAAAGGGGAAAAGAAAAAUGCAGCGUGGCUAGCCCUUGUGGUCAGAAGCGAGAAUCCGUGAAAACUGGUCGUUCUUACUCUCUGUGGGCAGAAGUUUCAGCCGGGCCAAGGGCAGAUAAAGGAAUCCAAGGCCGAUUGCCAAAGACCGGAGCAACGCAAACGGACUCCCACGGACACGCACAGAGGGAAGCGCCCAGGAGGACACGAUGAGACGCAGCCGUCUGCAAGUCAAGGAGGGAGAACCCCGCACGGCUGGCACCACAAUCUUGGGCUUCCAGCCUCCAGAACUGGUACUCCUUGCGUCCUGGUGCUAAUCCACACCACUAUUGCUGGGACAGAGCCCAGGCUUGGACGUCGUGAAGUGGCCCGAACCUCCCCAACAUAGCCGCUUUGAAGCCCCGUGUCCAGUUGGUGAAAUGACCCCCAGGAGGCACAGGAGAGCCCCCAGAGGGUUGUUCCCAGGAUAUGCGAUCAGUCUGGUAAGUAAGAGGCCCCGAUCAGAGGCUUCACCAAGAGAUAUGACCUGCCAGACCGGUUUGUCAACCAGCUGCAGCCACUUGGGGGUGACUGGUCCAUCUGGAUGAACGCAGAUCUGGAUGCUCAAACAAUUCUCUCAAUGUCUGGUUUUCUUUUAACUGAAGAGGGGCUUACAUUUUUCUUCCCAUUUUAUCUAUUUUGCAGCUGGUUCUUAGAGAUGCUCUAGCCCAGUCUGUUGGUCUUGUGAGUUUCAGAAGGCGCACCCGGCCCCCCACUCCCAUGGCUCCUUCCCCAUGUGAUUACAUCUUUCCUUGGUAAUGGGGUUUUGACUGGCCUUUUGUAGCAUGUGAAGCCACAAUGGGACAAGAAUAUUCUCCCCUUAUUUUUAUCAGGCGCUUUUAUUUCCUGAGCUGUUUUUGUAAGUGUGAUUGUUUCUGGUUCUGCUUCUCAUCUGGAAGGGGGCCCAGGAUUCAGGGAUAAGAUUAGAUGCCCUGCUGUGUCAAUUGGUCUUUUAAAAGAAAGAAGCAAAAGUUGAUCACAUGCUGAAGCUCAGGGCCGAUGCAGAGCUACCUCCCAAGAGGCCAAUCAAUUUCAAUUAAGGAGAUUAAAAGCCCCGAGCACAGAGAGGCCUGGUCACGGGUUUCUGAAUGCCUUGCUCCUCCAGCAGCCUAAAAGCAGGCAGCGGACCCCAGAAGCGCUGGAUCUUAUCCCCUGGGCCGUUGGCAAGACAGUGAGGGAGCACAUGCAAAAGAAGGAGCUAGCUGAAGGGGCUCAGUGAUCCUUCACAGCAUCUGGGGCAGGACCGACGAGUCAAUGUCCUCACCCCCACUAAGUAUCCAGACCCAAAUUACUGGGCCAAACCUACCCAGUGCAAACUACCACCCCAUCACACUUCCCAGGGGACAGAACUACCCCAGGUUCUCAUGGUCUGUCCCCUCCCCUUCCGAGGCGGCGGCCCUCCCCACCAGAUUCCAGGUCGCCACCUUCCCUAACUGCUCGGGCAUCCUAGAGCCCACACCGCUGAGGGUGGGCAGGGGACCAGAGCGGGGGUGCCAGGCAGAGGAGAGGGGCCUUAGCACCACACAGGGUCUGCCUCUUACUAGCUCUGCAUUGGCUCUGAGUCAGCACGUGACUGAGUUUCUUUUUAAGACCGGUUGGCACACCAGGACAUCCCCUUAGCACCCAGGUAUCUCAGCGAGCCUCACUUCCCAUGUGCAUCAAAACAGAACCAUCACCCGCCGCACCGGGUUGGCCAGGCUCCCAGGAGGUCACACAUGUUUACAUCAAGCACCUGACACCCCCUCGCCGCCCUCCGCAGGCAGCCCUUCCGAUUACAGUGGCCCUGGGCAGACAGGGGAGGUGGGGGGGGGUUACAUUCAGGCCCCCCAACCCCUGAUCUGGUGGUUUUUGUUUAGAAGCCAGUGAAUCAGCAGUCCUGUUAGUGCCGGAAGAUCAUGCUUUGUCUGCCGUGAAUGCUGUGUAAAUAUCGACGCUGUGUCACCUGCCGGGGCCGGGAGAACCAGGGCCGACGGAGGGGUGUGCAGGGAUGCAGGGGAGGGGGCUGAGCCCGCUGCAGCCCCUGGCAGGGCAGGAAGGAAGCAGGGCUCUCUGGGAGGGGAGUAGCAGGAGGCUGAUGGAAAGCAGUUACUUGCUGGGCAGGAAAGAGAAGUGGCCAGGAACUCAGCUUCAUGCCCAGGAGUAGUAACAAAGACAAGAUCUAGCAAACUCCAGGAGCCCGAAGCCACCGUUCCCCUGGCACCUCUUCUCUGCUCCUUCUCCUCGGCUGCUAUCCCAUUUUCAGGCCGGCCUGGAGAGGGAAGGUGGCUGAGGAGGAGGCUCGGUCCAGGCCAUGUGGCAGCGCGUCUGUCAUCUAAAGGACAGGAGGGGCCGCUGUGGAACACCACGCAUCAAGAAGCACGGGGUCACAGUUCUCCCAGCCCUGUGGGGUGCCAGGUGCCAGGUGGCUCAUGCACUUGCCCAAGGUCACUCUAGUCCAUGGCAGAGCCAUUUCCCAGGGUCCUUCUCCCACACCUCCCUGCCUCCUGGGCCUGCUUCCAUCUCUGACCUACUUCUCCCAAGAUAAUUGAGAAACAAAUGACCGAAGCUGCAGGCCUAGGCUUGUGAAGGCUUGGGAUGGCUGUUCAUCAACGUGAGAGCAUCUGGACCUUUUUUUUUAAACAACGAGAAAAGUAAGUCUUGUGCAGAUUGUAUUAUAUACAAAUGGCAUUUUUCUGGAUACAGAUUUAUUUUACAAGUGUAGAAAAAUGGAACUUACCAUUCACAUUGAAGAGGAGGAAACUUGCUGUGUGGAGUUUUAAGGAAGCUUUAAGUUGCUAAGGAAGGAGUAGAUGAGCUUCCCGAAGGAAGCCUUGCCUCGAGGUGGGACCAGCUUUGUGGGAGGGAAGGCAUCACCAGCCACCAGCCCUUCCUUUAGAAACCUGUGGGGUGGCCGCCCCAUCAGGCAAUAGGAAGGGACUGGGGUGUGAUGUGCCCUGGGACCUGCCUUCCUUUUUUUUUUUUUUUAAAGAUUUUAUUUAUUUGACACAGAGAGAGAGAGAGCACAAGCGGGGGAGCAGCAGAGGGAGAGGAAGAAGCAGACUCCCUGCUGAGCAGGGAGCCCGACAUGGGGCUCGAUCCCAGGACCUGAGAUCAUGACCUGAGCCGAAGGCUGACGCUUAACGACUGAGCCCCCCAGGCGCCCCUGGGACCCGCCUUCCAACAGAGCACCUGUACAGGCAGAUUCCACUGACAAAGCAUUGCUGUUAAAUUGGUGUGGAUGCUGCUGAAGGCUCGCUGUCCCCUCUGUGUUCAUCUCCCUGUGGAGCUGUCACCGAGCCUCUCAGGAACCAGGCUUCCUGCGUGGGCCACCUUCUGAGGGCCGCUGCCUAGAGCCCCAUGAAAUACACUCUUGUCAGCCCGCACAUCAGUGGGACGCCACCACUUCCAGAGACAAAGACUCGCAUUGGGGUCCCAGUGAAGAUGCAAGACUCCUCCCCAGAGGACAGAGCAACCUGCUUGACAAGAACAGAGGGGUCCUCUUGCCCAAAAGCACUGGAUGUCAGAACAGAGGGGUCUUGGGUGGGCGGAAGCCUCUGGGAAUCUGGACAGGAGUGAACAUUUCCCAGCAGAAACUUUUCCUGGCAAGAGAACUGGAGAGGAAGAGGUGUUCUGAGCCUUCAGUAUGGUUGCAGGGAUGAUGCAUCACAAAAACGAAACAAAUUAGUCCUUGGGACAGACGACCCAGGGGCAAAUCAGCCACCACAACAAAAAAGACAAGCUUUCAAACCAACAAGAGAAGACAAGAUUGUAAUGCCUUCCUAACAACGUUGCUUUAUUGAUGCGAUGCAAGGAAAACUACAUUAGAUUCUAUUGAUUCUCUUUGAGAUCUAAUAAUAUGCUUUAUUCAGAUCUUAUUCACAUACCACUUCCUCCACCGUCUUUCUCAGGAGCUGAAAUUGGCCAGUUACAAACAGAAUUUGUUCUCCUCUCCUUUGAAAUCACAGAAGUGGACGUGUUUUAGAACACAAAAGGUACUAAGCUUUCUCAGGGAAAGAAAGCAGAGCUGGAAGAAAAAAAAAAUCUCCCCUCUAAACAAAAUUGAAAGCAUGCCUUACUUUAGAUUUAUUUGAUUACAAAGUCUUUCUCGGAGCUAAUCAGUUUUAGAACCCGUUCCUAUUGGCGCCAAUGAGCCAAUAAAAAAUCCAGAAGGAGAGAAGAAGUAUCACAACAACUCAAGGAAACAAGGUUGUUCGUUUUUUUUUAAAAAGCAUUGAAUUAAUGUCUACGCCGCUGAGUCAAAUUAUUUAUACACAUGCUAUAGGUUUUGCAUCCCCAGAAUUUGUUAGCAUUCAGAGUAUGAUAAAUUGUCCCUGACUGACUUGUGAAAAAUCAUCUCAAGAAGGAUUUUUUUUUUUUUCCAAGCGGAAAAAUAUGUACAUGACACACGGUGGUUUAUUGAAACUGUUCUUCAGAUGAACAGCCUGAAGGGAGAGGCAGGUUUUUAGAUGUCACAACGAUGGUUAAGAAUUUCGGCUGUGGGGCAGUGUUAUAAAGCUCAUGAAGUCACUUCACUCCUGUACCUUGUGUUCUUCAUCUCUCCAGUAGGUUCCAAACUCGGGGCUUUCUGCAAAAUUCAGAGGGAUCAUACGUGAGCCCUCCCAGGAUUAAGAACCUAAUAAAUGUCAGCCUUUGUAUCAGUAUUAUUAUAGAGAAUCUUUUCCUAGUUAUAUUUCAUCUGCAGAAAAAUUACAAAAAGGAUUAAGUUUGUUGGAAAAACAACAAAGUAGGUCUUGCGCCCCCUUAAUGCAUGUGCUGUGUCAGUUCUAAGAAAGGAUGUUAACAAGUGUUAGUAAGCCUGUGUGUUGCUGGUGGGGUGUUAAACGGUCAGACCCUUUGGAAAACUGGUCGCUCCUUAAAAAGCUAAAUACAGAGUUACUAUAUGGACCAGCAGCUCCACUCCUAUCUGUAUAUAUAUAUAUAUAUAUAUAUAUAUAUAUACCCAAGGGAAUCAACAAUAUACAUCUGUACAAAAUUUGUCCACAGAUGUUCAUUGCAGCAUUAUUCACAAUAGCCAAAAGGUGGAAACAGCUUAGGUAUCUAUCAGCUAAUGAGUGGAUAAGCAAAAUGUGAUAGAAUAUUAUCUAAUAUUAUUAGAUGCUACAAUGGGGAUAAACCAUAAAUACAUUGUACUAAGUCAAAGAAGCCAGGUCUCACAAAAAAACACCUCUUGUCUGAUUCCAUUUUUAAAAAAAAUUUUUGAUUUAGAAGUUUUAUUUUUAUCACUUGCAAAUUGUAUUUUCUUUUCUGAUUUUUUAAAAAAUCAUUUAUUUUUUAAGUAAUCUCUACACCCAAUGUGGGGCUUGAACUCACAACCCUGAGAUCCAGAGUCGCAUGCUCUAAUGGCUGAGCCAGCCAGGUGCCCCUCUUAUGAUUAUUUUAAUACAACAUUGUUAGUUUCAGGUGUAUAACAGUGACUCACCCUGUGCCUGCAUUCUGAAAUGAUCACUUCAAUAAGUGUAGUCGCUGUGGAUGAUUCCAUUUACGUGAAAUACCCAGACCAGGCAAAUCCAGGGAGACCAGAAAGUAAUUAGCAGUUGCCUAGGUUGGGUCAGGGAGCAGUGAUGGGUAUGACUGCUAACAGGUGUAGGGUUUCUGGAAUUAGGUAGUGGUGAUGGUUGUACAACUUUGUGAAUAUACUAAAAACUACUGAAUUGUACACUUUAAUAUGGUUAGUUUUAUGAAUUAUUUCUGGGAAAAAAUUUUGAAUUCUUAAUGUGGAAGAUAAGAAGGAAACAAAAAAAAUUGCAGCAUCCAGAGAUAAUCACUGCAAGUGUUUUGAUGUAGAUCCUUCAGACUCAUGCAAAUAUACACAUUAAAAAAAAAAAUAGGGCGCCUGGGUGGCUCAGUUGGUUAAGCAACUGCCUUCGGCUCAGGUCAUGAUCCUGGAGUCCUGGGAUCGAGUCCCGCAUCGGGCUCCUUGCUCAGCAGGGAGUCUGCUUCUCCCUCUGACCCUCCCCCCUCUCAUGCUCUAUCUCAUUCUCUCUCUCAAAUAAAUAAAUAAAAUCUUUAAAAAAAUAAAAUAAAAUGGGAUCAUACAGGGCAUACUGCUGAGUGGAAGUUUUAUCUUAAUAUUACUAUUCUAUAUUAGGAAAUUGCCUCUAUACUUCAGUGACUUCUAUCUCUGAAUCUUCCCGAAUGUCUGGCCUUUCCACAUUUCUUGCCAUGUUCUUCUCUUUCCAAAGCUCUUCAGGAGGACUUUUCAAACUAUUUUGCACUCCUCGGAUCGUCAGGGUACUUCCAGUCCUUGCUGUCACAACUUGCCCUGUGUUACAAGAUAUUUCAUUAACACCUAUGAUUUCAAUAGACUUGAUUCAUAAAUCCACACUUCUACCUUGACUUUUAUCCCCUCUACUGGUCCUCCAUCUCCAAAAGCCCACUGGAAAUUCCCACUCGGAUAUUCAUCACUGACACUGUCAUAUGACUAAAAUCGAACUCAUUAUACUUUUCAAUGCCACAGCCUGGCACGGCAGAAGAUGUGCUGAAUGUUGAAUCCUGAAAGGAGAGUUCAUGCCCACACUUAACCUUUCUGAUUCAAAUCGGGCUUCUUGGAAGUGAUGGAGACCUACUGUGGCUAAUUUAGACAGAAAAGGGAUGCAGGGAGGGACGUGUGGUCGCUCCCGCCCCGGGCAGGAAGGCUGGAUAUGGGACAGGGCAGUGAAAACCAGCACCUGUCCACUUUGCUUAGCCUUGAUUUCCUUAAACCAAGAACGAUGGAGAUAAUUUUACCACCGGCCUCAUGGGAUUUGUAAGGAAGCCAGAGCCGGUAUUGCGGAAGAUACUUUGUAAACCAGGAGCCCCUGCGCAGGUGUGAGGCUUUCUUUCCAACCUCUGCUCUGUUCCUGACCAUUGUACCUUUGUGCCCC